AAAGAAAAAGAGAGUGCAUGACGUCGUCACUUGGUGUUAUGGAUAAGAGUGAAGCACCAUUAUUUUCACCUCACGUAAAUCAUCUAUUUCAAACACUUCUUUACCUCAUAUGAAUAGAAACUUUUUUAAUAAAGAAUGUAUUCCAUAUCACUCAAGUAGUAUAUGAAUCUAACACCUAUAUACUAAAUUUUAUCCCAACCCCACCCCAACCCCUAAAUAUGAAACCUAAAACCCUAAUUAAUAAACCUUAAACCCAAAUAUAAGCCAUAAACCCAAAUAUAAACUCUAAACCCUAAUAUAAACCAUAAACCCUAAACCCAAAUAGAAUGAAACAAAAUAAAUAGCAUAGUACAUAUUGAUGAAAUUAU
rnacentral:lncRNA from 1 species